rfam:Mustela putorius furo unplaced genomic scaffold scaffold00160, whole genome shotgun sequence.
UUUUUAGUAUAAGUAUAUCCCAUGCAAUAGUUGGGAGGUACUUACACUAAAA